rnacentral:rRNA from 1 species
UACGGGGGGAGCAAGCGUUGUUCGGAUUUACUGGGCGUAAAGGGCGCGUAGGCGGUCAGUGCAAGUCAGUUGUGAAAUCUCCGGGCUUAACUCGGAAAGGUCAACUGAUACUGCUCGACUAGAGUGCGGAAGGGGCAACUGGAAUUCUUGGUGUAGCGGUGAAAUGCGUAGAUAUCUGGAGGAACACCGGUGGCGAAGGCGGCAUCCUGGACCAACACUGACGCUGAGUGAGCGAAAGCCAGGGGAGCAAACGGG